GCCAAGGUUUCUAAGUAAGGUGAAAAGAACAGGACUUGGAAUCAGGAGAACUAGGUUCAAAUCCUAGCUGGCA
rnacentral:tRNA from 1 species